CCUGACGCAGCGACGCCGUGUGAGCGAUGAAGGCUUUAGGGUUGUAAAGCUCUGUCAAAUGGGAAGAAUUAUGACGGUACCAUUAGAGGAAGCCCCGGCUAACUCCGUGCCAGCAGCCGCGGUAAUACGGAGGGGGCAAGCGUUGUUCGGAAUUAUUGGGCGUAAAGCGUAUGUAGGCGGCUAGGUAAGUCAGGCGUGCAAGCCCGUGGCUCAACCACGGAAUUGCGUUUGAAACUGCUUAGCUUGAGUACAGGAGAGGAAAGCGGAAUUCCCAGUGUAGCGGUGAAAUGCAUUGAGAUUGGGAAGAACACCUGUGGCGAAGGCGGCUUUCUGGUCUGUUACUGACGCUGAGAUACGAAAGCCAGGGGAGCAAAGGGGAUUAGAUACCCCCGUAGUCCUGGCUGUAAACGAUGGGCACUAGGUGCAGGUGGUAUCGAUCCCCUCUGUGCCGUAGCUAACGCGUUAAGUGCCCCGCCUGGGGAGUACGGUCGCAAGGCUGAAACUCAAAUGAAUUGACGG
rnacentral:rRNA from 1 species